UGCGGUUGCACCCGACUUAAGAGCCGCAUGGCUCACAGGGCUAUACAGUACCUAAUAAAUGAAACUUGAAACUAUCCACUGUUGGUGGGCCUCGCCUAUCCGGUCUACCAAAUUUGAACCCUCCCUCAGCGCCGAUAACCACUACCAUUUCCACGAACGUCACUCCGAACCACAACUGUGUUAAUCCACGUUUCCACGUCUUGAUCGCAGGGACAGAGAGAGACGCCGGCGCCCAUUAAUCGGCCGAUAAGCAAACUCGCGGUUUCAUUUCAGUGCGAUUCGCGGCGGUAAUUUAGGGGUGGCGAAAAAGUGUUGGAAAGAGAGGGACGCGUCACGAGUCGACCGAUUUUCCUAAGGAGUCUUGCAGGAAGCCUGCGCUAGGCCUUCCCGGCGGCAAGUGGACAAUGGCAGCGGGGUCGCUACCCAGGGUCGUGUUCGUGUUAGGGCCGCCUGGGAGCGGCAAAGGAACGAUUUGCGCUUUGGUGAGCAAGGUGUUUCCCUAUGCUCACCUCUCGGCUGGGUCUCUGCUGAGGGCCUCCAGGUGCGAGGCCGUGCAGAGAAGGUUGAGGAACGGGGACAUUGUCAGUUCACACAUCACCAUCGACAUCCUCACAGAGGAGAUGAGGUCCCUUGGUGCAUGGGGUGGGUCCCCACAUCCCCGUGUCUCUGUGUCCCCGUGUCUCCGGGGGUUUCUGCUGGACGGAUUUCCACGGAACCCGGAGAAUGCGUGGAGCUGGGAGCUGGACGCGGGGAGACGCACAGAGACACAAUUCGUGCUUAGCCUGGAGUGCAGCGCCAAGGUUGGCUCUAUUUGAAAGGGAGACACGGCCCGUGCUGGACAUGUUCCAUGAGAGGGGGUUGUUGAAGAGGGUCGACUCGUCCCGGCCCACUGUUGAGGUCUUUGCAGAUGUCACGCGGAUCUUUGAAGAGGAGGGAUAACGUCAUAGCAAGCCUCGUUUGCGAGCCCCUAUUGAGAAGCCUCUCACCUCGGCUCUGGGUUCUGCUGCCUGCGAUUAAACUGGAUUCUCAAGUCGAGUGAGUUGGUGGUCUCUGUCUGGCCACCAGUGAUUCACGUAGAGACCCAUAGACUCACACAGAGACCCACAGACUUGCACACUCUGACAGAGACACACAGACUCAGACAGAGUUGAUGGUCUCAGCUGAGUUACCAAUGACUGCACAAAAAAUCCUGAUCACAUUAAGUCUUUUACGUAACUUAGCUAAAUUACAAUUGUGAGAAUUAAAAUAUUGGUUUGACUGUCACAUGGUGAGCAUUACUGUCAUAUGUCAGAGUGAGUGGGAAAGUGGUGCCCUCCACUAUGGACCAGAAUGUCGCUUGAAGAAGAAGUAGGAUCUCAGAGGUAGCUCGUUGAUAUCCUAUUCCUUGGGUUCCGUUCUUUGCUGCAUUGCAGGGAACGGCUGCACUGCUUCGUGAGAUUUACGAAUGGAUUAUUUGCCUCGUCUCGUGACGUCGAGAGAUUGAUCGGGGUCAAAUUGGGAGAGUUUAUUUUUUACAAGGGGCUGGAAUGUGGGAAAGCUUCAGAUCAUGUUGGCAAUCUAAAUUUCCAGGGAUAGCCACAUAUACCUCGAUAUACCCAAAUGCUUAUGAGACACGCAAGAGACCAAGACUGUGAUGUGGCCCAGCGUUCGCCACUUGUUGCAGAGGUUCACAGUUCGAAUCCAGCAGGCCACCCUGGUUAAUACUGUGCAUGUGCAUAUUAACCGCGAAAUACUAAUACUCUGAACCAUCUUCUUCACUCACAAUGGACGUUAAAGACUCCGUGACGUCAGUCGCAAGAACAGUUUGCCAUUUUGUGCUGGUGCCACAGUCCAAAUUUUUGUACAAAUUAGAAAAAUGCCACUGCAAAUUACUCAAUUCGGAUCAUAUACAGUAUAGAGUAGCAACGAUCACCCCCGACGGGACAUCAUAGUAAUGCACAGGGACAGCUGCCACUGAGGGUACCCCUCAGCGAGACCACAACAGCAAUCAUCUCCGCCUACGGGCAUAGUUAUGCCUGUUUGCAGGUCUGUUGCGGAGUCACCUUGUGCCUCACAGGGACAGCUGGCACUUACUUGGUCACCCCUUCCAAAUGUGUUGAGAUAAUGAGAUGCGAGAUAUACGCUGCUUGUUGCGUGUGAAGCUUCUCUGAAGCAACCGAGUUUAAAGGAAGGUGGUUCUUCUCAAACAAUCAUUAAACAUCAGUAGAUGUGGUGGGGUGGUUAGGGUUGAAUUACACUGGUUCAUCAGUUAUUCCCCUCCCCCACCACCGCCAGGUUCCCCUUCCCCCCUCCCCUUGGAAAAUAUAAAUGAAAAUCUAUUGAUUAGUUUUAUUUAUUUGUGUUUUCUUCGUGCAUGCAAAUUGCAUCCCUCACAAUCGUUGCUGAAGAACUGCAGGCCAAGCUGGAAGGCUUGGUUCCCUGUAUAUUAAGAUGUGUUCAGGCAAUUUGUGAUGAGUGUUCAUUUUACAUGUAGGAGGAAACUGGAGUGAGUGGAGAAACCCCACGCCUGCGAGCGGGUGACAACAUUCUAUCCCAUACAGAAGGGACAGAUAUCAGUUCAUACUUUGCACCUCGAUGCCCACGGGAAGGGCAUUUUCCAACAUGUGUGUGAUCCACCAACCCUCUCCUCCACACUGCUGGAUUACAGGCGUGUGCCACCUUCAGCAACGUUUUGUCAUUUGUGUGCAGUGAUCCACCAACCCUCGCUGCUGCCUGCACGGUACUGCGUUACAGGCCAUGUUCAGCAGAGCUACCACCGAAAUGUAAUGCCCCCAAGCACCCCCCCCUCGCAGAAUAUCGACUUGGAACUCGGUGACGUUUUCAUUGUGCAUUUAUUUUUUUGUAAUUUCCGGCAUUAUAAAAUGAAGUUUGCAAAAGGAAUAGCAUUGGAAAUUAACAUCGGUCACACUCCUCAACUCUCACCCGUUACAUAGAAGUUCUUAGCCUUGUGCUUAUGCACGUGAAACCACUAGUUGAGAAGAACUGCCAGGUGGUCAUAUUGUCUUGGCCCACCAUCGAUAAAGUGAGUAUGUGGACGGCCGAACUGGUGGUUUUCGCUUGACUUGCAUGGUUGAGGGCUUCGGUACAUACGAUGUCAUCUCUGCCAGUCAUCUCUGUUAACCCAUGGCACCUGUCUGUCCUAUCAAUGCCAGCAGCAGAAAACAUUCGACACUUCACGUGGCCUCAAAGUGCACAUAGCCUGUAUGUAUGUUGAUCUUUCGCACCGUACCAACUGUGCUAAUCAUCGAUGUGGGGAAGGACAACAAACUAAACACAAAGCAGUUCUCAAAUUAGUUUUUAAUCUAGAUUUGAAAGUGCAUAGCUCCAAUGGCUUCCAAAUAUCGGAAGGAAGAUCAUUCCGGUACGAUGGCUAGCCAAAAACCACUUAGAGAAUGACCGGAGAUAAUUUUGGCACCGUGGUAACGUCACCGUCACUUAGUGGCAAAUGGCGGCUAUGUAUGUGUUGGAGACUCCGCGGCACCUGGCCAGUUCAUUAUAUCCUGGGGCAGCGAUUACUUAGGGAACUCGGAGAUGCUUGUUCACCAAGUCAUCUUCUGGGAAAAAAGCCUUGGACAAUGAGUGGCAAGGAAUGUGGACCAGGGGAUAAAAAAGAGCAGAGCAAAAGAAGUUCUAAGUGGGGGACAUCUGUGGGUCAUCUAAUAAAGAGACCUCUGUUGAACACGGUAUGAGACUAAUCCUUUCAUAUGUAUGCCGAAAAUAUUUUUUUUCCGCCCGCACUAAGUUGUCUGUUGAAAUCAGGUUUUUGAGCCACAUACAGAUUUAAAUCUCUAACCCUCAUUAUACUUUACAUCACAAACUCACUCGCUCUUGGGUUGCUAUAUUAACCUAUAGAUAAUAAACACUGCACGGUGUAAAAGGUAAUACAAGAUCAUUAAACAAUGCAGUACAACGUUCAAUUCAGCUACGAUAAUCUAAGUUGCAAUGAACAAUAUCUGUAUUCAUCUAGGUGCAUCUCGGUCUCCUUUAUACACUAUCUCAUUUCAGUCAAUUUAUAUUUAUUAGGAAUUUGGCAAGAUAGCGACAAGUGAUCACCCUCACCUGAGUCCCAACCUCCUUGAGUCUCAAGACCUCGAGAUCCAGUUUCUUUGAGUCUCAAGACCUUGAGACGUGGUCUUCCCAAAUCACAAGACCCUGAGAUCCGGUCUUCCCGAGUCUCAAGACCCUGAAAUCCGGUCUCGAGUCUCAAGGCCCUGAGAUCCGGUCUCCCCGAGUCUCAAGACCCCGAGACCCCAUUUCCCUGAGUCUCAAGACCCUGACCGUGUCUCCCUGAGACUCAUUACCCCAAAACCCGGUCUCCCUAAAUCUCAAGACCCCCACCCCCUACCGUCUACAUAUCGAGGUCGUAGAACCUGCUCGUCCCUGCCAGGCCCAGCUCGUGUGGCGUGGGCAAAAUAUUCUGGUUGAGGGACACGAGGAGACACAGCCUCCCCACACAGUCCAGCCACAAAGCCCUGCUUAAUCUCAGCGGGAGCUUCUUCCUUCUGUUGUCUCCAUCGUUGAUCCUAGACCACCCCAGCAGACGCGACGCCACCUCGAGCGCAGCCAACGCCAGCGUGGAAGCUGGAAAUGAGUUGAAGGCGUAGUCUGCAAAACUCAGCUCCAGGAUCUGCUCUGAAAGGCAGCUGAGUGCCGAGAAGGAAUAAACGGGGGAGAGAGAGGACUUCUCUGUGGUAGUGGAGGUGGUUGUGGAGUUGUGGUUAGUGGGCGUUGUGUGAUUGGGAUAUGGGUAGCGAUUAGGGUUGCUGUCGUGGUUGUAUGCAAGACAGCGUACAACUGAUCCCUUCGUUGUUGCUGCCGAUGGAUGUGAUGGGAGUGGUGGCGGUUGUGAUAUUGGCGCAGAUAGUGUGCAUCUUUCUGCUAAUGGUGUUUGUGGUGAUGGUGGUGGAGAUAGUGUUGUUGGUGCUGCUGUUGAUGGUGGAAGUUUUGAUAUUAAAGAUGCCACUGAUGACGAUGCUAGUAGAACCGGUGAUGGUGGUGGGGAUAAUGAUGCUUCCAUUUCUGCUUCCCCCAGCGCCCUUCCUCGUGCCGCUUCCCCGCGCUCCCUGCUCAAGUAGAAGGAAAGGAAGUCGGCAGCCGUGGGAGCCAGGAGCCGGAAUUUGAGACGGAGGAGAACGAGACGCUCCAGGUUUUUGAGCUGCUGGGUGGUGAAAGCUCUGCCGCACAGAUCCAGAAGCUGAGAGGCGCGGGGGGCCGUCACCUCCACCUGUGAAAUAGUGGAGUUUUGUGUGAAAAAUAUCCAUUCAAGGAGUCUAACAUUCUCACAGUUUAGGGUAACAGUUGGCUUAAUGCUAAAGUGCAAUGUAUGUAUGUGAACAUCCAUUCAGGGGGUCUAAGUCUGACGGUCGGCUGAAUGCUAAAGUGCGAUGUAUGUAUGUGAAAAUUAAUUCAGGGGAUCUAACGGUUGAAUUGAAUGGGGCAGAUCAAUGUUGCUAAGCCUGGUGACGAUGAGGAAUGAUGGGGAACAUCGAUGACAUUGGGACGUACCUGCUUGGCGGCAAUGUGCAGGCACGCAACGCCCAGCAGCUGGAGGCAGUCGGAGGCGAGCGGUACGCGAGCCAGGAAGCGGUCGAGCAGGGAGAGCGCGAGCGACAGAGAGUGCAGCGACAGGGACAGGUGGCGCCGCACGGGGAUCAGCCACGACACGAGCACGCAGCGAGACGAAGGAAGAACCUAAAUGGGGUGAAGGGGGGAGGGGUGAGUCACGAGAUGGCAGCAUCUAGAUGGGGCGGGGGGGGGCAUGUUGCUUGAGCAUUAACCAACUUGGGGAAAAAUAAAACGCAUCCACGUCCCGACUGGCAGACUAAUUCCCACUUGCAGGCCGGUGCUGCAUACACCACGUAGGGUCGGCUGCCACUGGCUGUCCCCUAUGUUAGACUGCAGCAUGGAAAAAAUGGUUGAGAUGAAAUAUGUUAAAUGCUUUGAGAUGUUGAAGCAUUUUAAUGAGCGCGCUGUACAUACAAAUCCUUGAGUCAUCCGUCCAAAUUAUUUUGUAUUGAAUUAUGUGCUAUGAAGAAGGGUUGUUGCCAGAUAUAUAGCCUAUUGCAUAUAUAAUGAUUAA